rnacentral:tRNA from 1 species
GGGGAUGUGGUCUAGUGGUAUGACGUUUCCUUAGCAUGCUCUCAUCUCAUCUCGAGAUGAUCCGUAUGGAAAAGGUUCUGGGUUCGAUUCCCAGCCUCUCCA